GCUUCCCUGCCUGGGAGCCGGGUGUAGAGUUGGGGUGGGGGAUGUGGGGCCAGAGCGGAGUGCUGAUGGAGUCUCCCACUGUUGCCCAGGCUGGAGUACAAUGGUGUGAUCUUGGCUCACUGCAAUCUCCGCCUCCUGGGUUCAGGCAAUUCUCCUGUCUCAGCCUCCUGAGUAGCUGGGAUUACAAGCACCCGCCACCAAGCCAGAUGCAGCAAACAGGACCCUCCAGCCCGCCCAGGUGCAAGACUCUGCUGGGCCUGGGUGAGGUGAGAUGCACCAGUGCCAGCUCCAGUCUGCCCUUGCCAAGUGCUGUUCCAAAUUGGCUCCGUGAAACCAGGACCGUGAAAUCCCGUCAGGACAGCUGGAGGUAAGCGCAGCAGUGGAAGGAUUUAGACCACGUCGAAACAGCUCAUGUGCAAGAGGGUGAGACCCCGUGGACUCCAGGCAAAGGCACCAUCGGGAGCAUUAAGUCAGCAAUCCCAUCUCAAACUCACAACCAAAAUAUUUCAUACGAACCUUCCCUUUUCCCCCCAACUCUCUUUUUGUCAAGUAAAGGAUACACACGGCCUUUCUACUUGUAACCUGGCCAAGAAUAAUUUGUGGCAGGAAAGUUUGAGCAUUUGUCAAAAUAAAAUAAAAAUGUAAAAAAAAAAUUGCUAGCA
rnacentral:lncRNA from 13 species